rnacentral:rRNA from 1 species
AACGCGAAGAACCUUACCUGGGCUCGAACGGCUUUGGAUCAUCCUUGGAAACAGGGACUUCUCGCAAGAGACCGGAGUCGAGGUGCUGCAUGGCUGUCGUCAGCUCGUGUCGUGAGGUGUUGGGUUAAGUCCCGCAACGAGCGCAACCCUUACUCAUAGUUGCUACCCGCAAGGGAGAACUCUAUGAGGACUGCUCCGGAUAACGGAGAGGAAGGUGGGGAUGAGGUCAAGUCAGCAUGGCCUUUAUGUCCAGGGCCACACACGUGUUACAAUGCGCGCCACAAAGCGUCGCGAACCCGCGAGGGGGAGCUAAUCGCAAAAAAGCGCGCUCAGUUCGGAUUGCAGUCUGCAACUCGACUGCAUGAAGCCGGAAUCGCUAGUAAUGGCGCAUCAGAACGGCGCCGUGAAUACGUUCCCGGGCCUUGUACACACCGCUAGUC